GUCUAUCAGAUCAUGUUGGAUUUUGAAUAGCAUGCAUAGCCUAUUUUGUUUCCUGCGGUCUUCAAGGCUUUCCCAUUUUAAAGAUGUUACCAUUUUUGUUACACAGCCAGGUGUGCGGUCUGUGUAGUUGUUGUUUACAAAUCUAGCUGCUCUUUUCUGUACUUGUUCGAUUGCUUUUAUUUUAGCCUGUUUCGUAGGAUCCCAUACUGUGCAAGCAUACUCAACUGAAGGUCUUACUAUUGUUGAAUAUGCUGCUGCUUUGACCGGUUUAGUGCAAUCUUUUAGGUUACGUCGUAUGAAGCCUAGUGUUUUGUUUCCUUUUCCCACUAUGUUGUCGAUGUGUCUGUCCCAGGUUAAAUUGUUGCUGAUAGUAACUCCCAGGUAUUUACUAGCUUCAACGGUGUCCAGUGUGUGUCCGUGUAAUUUGUAAUUAGUUGGUAUUACAGG
rnacentral:lncRNA from 1 species